rnacentral:rRNA from 2 species
UUCGGUGACGAUGCGCUUAGGGGUAACACCCGUUCCCAUCCCGAACACGAUGGUUAAGACCUAAGCGGCCGAUGGUACUAUGCUGGAGACGGCAUGGGAGAGUAGGUGGUCGCCGAAU